UUUCCUAGCGGCGGACGGGUGAGUAAUGCUUAGGAAUCUGCCUAUAGUGGGGGACAACAUUCCGAAAGGAAUGCUAAUACCGCAUACGCCCUACGGGGGAAAGCAGGGGAUCUUCGACCUUGCGCUAAUAGAUGAGCCUAAGUCAGAUUAGCUAGUUGGUGGGGUAAAGGCCUACCAAGGCGACGAUCUGUAGCGGGUCUGAGAGGAUGAUCCGCCACACUGGGACUGAGACACGGCCCAGACUCCUACGGGAGGCAGCAGUGGGGAAUAUUGGACAAUGGGCGAAAGCCUGAUCCAGCCAUGCCGCUGUGUGAAGAAGGCCUUUUGGUUGUAAAGCACUUUAAGCGAGGAGGAGGCUACUUGGAUUAAUACUCUAGGAUAGUGGACGUUACUCGCAGAAUAAGCACCGGCUAACUCUGUGCCAGCAGCCGCGGUAAUACAGAGGGUGCGAGCGUUAAUCGGAUUUACUGGGCGUAAAGCGUGCGUAGGCGGCUUUUUAA
rnacentral:rRNA from 1 species